rnacentral:rRNA from 1 species
CGUGAACGCUGGCGGUAGGCCUAACACAUGCAAGUCGAACGGCAGCACAGUAAGAGCUUGCUCUUACGGGUGGCGAGUGGCGGACGGGUGAGGAAUACAUCGGAAUCUACUUUUUCGUGGGGGAUAACGUUGGGAAACUUACGCUAAUACCGCAUACGACCUACGGGUGAAAGCAGGGGAUCUUCGGACCUUGCGCGAUUGAAUGAGCCGAUGUCGGAUUAGCUAGUUGGCGGGGUAAAGGCCCACCAAGGCGACGAUCCGUAGCUGGUCUGAGAGGAUGAUCAGCCACACUGGAACUGAGACACGGUCCAGACUCCUACGGGAGGCAGCAGUGGGGAAUAUUGGACAAUGGGCGCAAGCCUGAUCCAGCCAUACCGCGUGGGUGAAGAAGGCCUUCGGGUUGUAAAGCCCUUUUGUUGGGAAAGAAAAGCAGCAGGUUAAUACCCCGCUGUUCUGACGGUACCCAAAGAAUAAGCACCGGCUAACUUCGUG